rnacentral:rRNA from 1 species
CCUACGGGCGGCAGCAGUAGGGCAUAUUGCUCAAUGGGGGAAACCCUGAAGCAGCAACGCCGCGUGGAGGAUGAAGGUUUUCGGAUUGUAAACUCCUUUUGUUAGAGAAGAUAAUGACGGUAUCUAACGAAUAAGCACCGGCUAACUCCGGGCCAGCAGCAGCGGUAAUACGGAGGGGGCAAGCGUUAUUCGGAGUUACUGGGGGUAAAGAGCGGGUAGGCGGGAUAGCAAGUCAGAUGUGAAAUCCUAUGGCUUAACCAUAGAACUGCAUUUGAAACUGGUAUUCUUGAGUAUUGGAGAGGUAGGUGGAAUUCUUGGUGUAGGGGUAAAAUCCGUAGAGAUCAAGAGGAAUACUCAUUGCGAAGGCGACCUGCUAGAACAUAACUGACGCUGAGGCGCGAAAGCGUGGGGAGCAAACAGGAUUAGAUACCCGGGUAGUC